rnacentral:tRNA from 1 species
GGAAAGAUGACAGAGUUGGUCGAUUGUAUCAGUUUUGAAAACUGACGUAGCUUAUGGCUACCGGGAGUUCGAAUCUCCCUCUUUCCU